AACACUCUUUUUGUUUUUUUUGGGUGUAUGAUUGUUCCGUUUCUCGGAUUUUUUUUUCGGCUUUGUCCGAAUUUUCUUCCGUUGCGGAUAGUAGGUUUGUCUUUGCUUUUCCUUUAGAAGAUCAAUCUAAUUUCGUUUGAUUUGAGGGGUUUUCUCUGUAAGUUAGUUAUGCUUAGAUCCUUGAUUUAGAAACGAAACAAUCUCUGUUUGAUUAAAAUCUUUUAGACAGAGUCUCCUUGCAAGUCAAGUGUCUGUGUGUUUUGGAUUUUACUUUAGUGAAGAUAAACAGAAUCAGAUAAGUUGAAGCUUUCUAGAAGGUGUUUCAACAAGAUCCAUGGCGACCGUAUGAAGGAAGAGCUUGCAAGCAGAUUCAAGCAAAACGAGAUUGGAGAACGAUGAUGCUCAACCGCCAUGCUUUACGGUGAACAAAUCACGGUCUCUGUACUCUGUUUCACAAUGAUAUUGGUUUUGUUUAUUGUUUUUGUUUUUGUUUGUUACUCCUUUUAUUUAUUCAGAACUUAAUUUAUCGUUUUGUGUCAAAAUCUUUGCGUCUCUCUUUUGCAGAAUGAAACUAACCUUUGUUAAUCAGCUUCUGAUGAUGAAAUGUGGAAGCAAAGUUCUACGUGGUAGAAGCCUAGGACAUCACUCCCAAGAACUUGAAUACUUUGAGGCUGUUGAAGGGGUUCUAAAGAUCAAGGACGGAUAUAAUCCUGCAACGUGAAUGCUUGAAGAUGGACAUUCACAUUGGAGUACCUUAUUGCACAAAAAAAUAUUAAUUUUAUAAUUAUUGCACAAUGUCAACAAAUAAAAUUUAUAAAAUCAGUGUAUUUGCAAAAAUAA